AGAACGAACGCUGGCGGCAUGCCUAAUACAUGCAAGUCGAACGAACUCUUCGGAGUUAGUGGCGCACGGGUGCGUAACGCGUGGGAAUCUGCCCCUUGGUUCGGAAUAACAGUUGGAAACGACUGCUAAUACCGGAUGAUGACGAAAGUCCAAAGAUUUAUCGCCAAGGGAUGAGCCCGCGUAGGAUUAGCUAGUUGGUGAGGUAAAGGCUCACCAAGGCAACGAUCCUUAGCUGGUCUGAGAGGAUGAUCAGCCACACUGGGACUGAGACACGGCCCAGACUCCGUACGGGAGCAGCAGUAGGGAUA
rnacentral:rRNA from 1 species